GCGAAAUUUGUCAGUUGCUAAGUUAAUUCUCGUUCACAUAUACAUAUAUAUAUGGAAAUAUUAAAAUUCAAAGCAAAUACUUUCUAACUUCAUAACGUAGGUAGCGCAGGAGUGGAACAAAACAAAACAUGUUAACCACAAUGGGCUAAAAUCGUCACCUUGACCAUAUCAUCGCCGGACUUUAUGUGUACGGAGAUUAAAUAGUCCAAAAAUGGCCACAGCGGUUACAAAGCUCAAUAUAUACUCGAAUAUUACUAUAAAUUUUAACACAUGUAUAAAUCACUGGCCGCAGUCGAAGAUGGAUGAACCAAAGAUUCAAAAUCCUACUUUUUUUGGGCGAUGAACCAGUGGCCGAAAACCAGCGACGGUCUUGACGGUCCUGAACCCGAGACCUAUCGCGGAAAAUCGCGCUUACAUUUGCUUCUUAUGUUAAACAUCUACAGGAUAUGGUGGUGAAUAUCAGUUGUAGAAAUGCCAGGUCAGAAGCCACGAAGAUAUGGUGCAAUCAGUUCGCUGGGAAAACUAUAAUUUCCGCACACUGACCGAUAAAUUAAUGGAAAUCGUUGAGUCUCACAGUCGGAUGCCCAGGAGCUUAACUUUCCACAGAAAAACAGUUUCAAACUAUUUGAAAAUGCAGGAUAUUCAGAGGAACUAAAUUUAUGGAUAACACAUGAGUAAUGAAGUGGAAAACAUAUGAGCCGAAUUUCGAUCAACGAUUUACUGCUAAAUCGUGACACCAGCGUUUGAUUGAUGACCAUGAGAUUUUUUCUUGCUUAUUUGGUAGGUCGACUAUGAGCUGCUUCCUCACGGUCACACUCUUUACACGGACCUGAACGGUCAGCAAUGGAACCGCCAAAAGCAAGGAACUCGUCACAUAUUCCGAUGGCUUGGUUGGGAGCUUAUUAUGUAUCCACUACAUGAUUCAGACCUCGCAUCACUAUUAAUAAAAUGAAUGCAGUAAUGGCCUUACAAAAACUUGAGUAAACUUUUAUUAAAUCAAAUUAAGAAUUUCAAUUUGAAAUAUUUUA